UGUUAAAAAUAUUUCAUCCAUUUUUACUACUAAAAAUUGACAUGGUUGACAAAAUAAUUAGAGAGUUUAACUUGAUAUGUUACAUGUACCUUAUUCUUCUGAUAUACAAGAACCAAUUUUUAACAAUAGAAAUGAAUGAAUUUUUAACA
rfam:Gossypium raimondii Chr01_contig_1220, whole genome shotgun sequence.